rnacentral:rRNA from 1 species
GACGAACCGUGCGAACGUUAUUCGGAAUCACUGGGCUUAAAGGGCGCGUAGGCGGGCCUGCAAGUCAGGGGUGAAAUCCCACGGCCCAACCGUGGAGGUGCCUCUGAUACUGCCGGCCUCGAGGGAGGUAGGGGCGUGCGGAACUCAGGGUGGAGCGGUGAAAUGCGUAGAUAUCCUGAGGAACACCGGUGGCGAAAGCGGCGCGCUGGACCUCUUCUGACGCUGAGGCGCGAAAGCCAGGGGAGCAAACGGG